AAUAAGCAACAAGGGGGCUGGUGCAAGCCGGCUGAGAUUAAGACUAUAUGCGUCUUUGACCUUAUAACCUGAUCUGGAUAAUGCCAGCGUAGGAAAGUGCAAUACAUAAAUU
rnacentral:ncRNA from 2 species